AGUGAACGCUGGCGGUAGGCCUAACACAUGCAAGUCGAACGGCAGCACAGUAAGAGCUUGCUCUUACGGGUGGCGAGUGGCGGACGGGUGAGGAAUACAUCGGAAUCUACUUUUUCGUGGGGGAGAACGUAGGGAAACUUACGCUAAUACCGCAUACGACCUACGGGUGAAAGCAGGGGAUCUUCGGACCUUGCGCGAUUGAAUGAGCCGAUGUCGGAUUAGCUAGUUGGCGGGGUAAAGGCCCACCAAGGCGACGAUCCGUAGCUGGGCUGAGAGGAUGAUCAGCCACACUGGAACUGAGACACGGACCAGACUCCUACGGGAGGCAGCAGUGGGGAAUAUUGGACAAUGGGCGCAAGCCUGAUCCAGCCAUACCGCGUGGGUGAAGAAGGCCUUCGGGUUGUAAAGCCCUUUUGUUGGGAAAGAAAAGCAGCAGGUUAAUACCCCGCUGUUCUGACGGUACCCAAAGAAUAAGCACCGGCUAACUUCGUG
rnacentral:rRNA from 1 species